CUUGACCGCAGCACAUCCGUUUUCCUUACAGUAUGUAGUACGCAUUCUACCUUUUCCUACAAUGAAUCCACCAGCAGAAAUUCCUGUACACAUCUUAUCAACAAAGAAUUUGAACCUCAAAGAGUGGCUCAAAGAGGUCAGGAGGCACCUUCAACACUUUUAUUGGAGAUCUCCUUGUCUAGAUCAUCAGAUUCUCACUGUGUUACCUAGGCUGCAGUGCAGUGGUGCGAUCUCAACUCACUGCAACCUCUACCUCCUGGGUUCAAGCAAUUCUCCUGCCUCAGCCUCCCAAGUAGCUGGGAUUACAGGAAUUACACACUAAUAGUGAAGAACAGGUGGCACCUGAAAUCACAGAAAAUUUAUUUGUCCUCAAUGCAAAGAUGAACUAUGAAGAGCACUUUAUUGCGUUUGAAGAAUAUAGGAAUGAUGAGUGAAAUGGUGAAGGAAGUGGAUAAACAAUGAUGUAACGACUGAGCGUCAUCUUGCAACUGAAUAAGCCAGUGAGGAACUUGGUAAAUUUGUUGAUUAUAUUUAGUUUUACAAUGUUUAAUUCUUUAUUAUUU
rnacentral:lncRNA from 1 species